rnacentral:rRNA from 1 species
GACGAACGCUGGCGGCGUGCCUAACACAUGCAAGUCGAACGAGGUCCAUGCAGUGGCAACACUGCGGACGACCUAGUGGCGAACGGGUGAGUAACACGUGAGGAACUUGCCCCGGAGACCGGGAUAACCCUCCGAAAGGAGAGCUAAUACCGGAUGUCCUCACCGAGUCGCAUGGCUUGGUGAGGAAAUGGAUUCCGCUCCGGGGGAGCCUCGCGGCCUAUCAGCUUGUUGGUGGGGUAACGGCCCACCAAGGCAUCGACGGGUAGCUGGUCUGAGAGGACGAUCAGCCACACUGGGACUGAGACACGGCCCAGACUCCUACGGGAGGCAGCAGUGGGGAAUCUUGCGCAAUGGGCGAAAGCCUGACGCAGCAACGCCGCGUGCGGGAUGAAGGCCCUCGGGUUGUAAACCGCUUUCAGUGGGGACGAACCAAGACGGUACCCACAGAAGAAGGUCCGGCCAACUACGUGCCAGCCGCCGCCGUAA